ACGCCCCUCUCAUCAAUGAUUGGCGUUUUGGACGCGGGAACUUGAAGCUCUGGAACAGAUGGAGCCAGACAAUGCUCAGGCUGCAAUGGCAGAUCUAGAGGAAGCAGUGAAGGAACUUGGCACAGAACUGGACCGACUGACCCAGAAUAUAGAUGCAGUCACUGAGUACCAAUCCUCUGUUCUCCGGGUCAGCAAAGUGCUGUGUGCAUGGAUGGAGAAUAUUGAGGCUUUGGCCAAACACCGGAAGAAGCUACAGCCGUCUCCUUCUUCCACACAUUGACCAAUAGACUACGUCUGUAUUACUCUAUUUUGAUUUAUCACACAAGCUUGGAACAAAAGAGUAAGACAUUCUACUUUGAGGUGACACUAAGAGACACACGUGUUGAUGACUGGACCCUGUGAGUCCUAUUCAAUGUAACUAGGCCUACCGCCUUCACGGAGCAAUGUAACCAGGCCUACCGCCAUUAUAAAGUAUAUGUGUAUCUUCGAAUGAUCUUUCCUUUUUUCCAGAAUGUGUGAUGUGGUUUUAAUAUUAUGUUUGUCGUGUCAAUAUAAAUUAUUUCUUCACACAUGGACGGAGCUAGGCUGUCUUCAUUUAAUAUAAGAUACUCGUGUAUCGUUCAAUCAGCCCACUUCAUGCUUAAUAGAGCAGACUUGAUCAUUGACUGAUAUGAAAGAUGCUGAAACCAAUCUACAUAGCCAUCUAAGUAUAAUUUGACUGCAUAUCAAUCAAACAAUGUAAAACGUGUUGAAUAAUCGAACCGGAACGUAACAGAAAUGUAUUUCAACGUUAAAGAGGAAAAGAAACUGCUGAGAUUUUCUCACACCAAUAAGUGAUUAAAAUUUAGCAACCAGCAUGUGCCUGUUGCCAAGGCCUCAAACUGCCUUAGUGUCAUCUACUUUAC